CUGGGUGUAGCGCAGCUGGUAGCGCGCCAGAAUGGGGUUCUGGAGGUCGCUGGUUCAAAUCCAGUCACUCAGACCA
rnacentral:tRNA from 1 species